rnacentral:rRNA from 1 species
CCUACGGGAGGCAGCAGUGAGGAAUAUUGGUCAAUGGCCGGGAGGCUGAACCAGCCAAGUCGCGUGAGGGAAGACGGCCCUACGGGUUGUAAACCUCUUUUGUCAGGGAGCAAGGUGCAGGUCGGGCCCUGCCGUGAGAGUACCUGAAGAAAAAGCAUCGGAUAACACCGUGCCAGCAGCCGCGGUAAUACGGAGGAUGCGAGCGUUAUCCGGAUUUAUGGGGGUUAAAGGGUGCGCAGGGGGAGGCACCAGUCAGCGGUAAAAUCGCGGGGCUCAACCCCGUUCCGCCGUUGAAACUGUGUCCCUUGAGUGCGCGAAGGGUAGGCGGAAUGCGUGGUGUAGCGGUGAAAUGCAUAGAUAUCACGCAGAACUCCGAUCGCGAAGGCAGCCUACCGGCGCGCAACUGACGCUCAUGCACGAAAGCGUGGGUAUCGAACAGGAUUAGAUACCCCAGUAGUC